GGGGAGGUUUCCGGCCCGGGGCCCGACUGCGGGUGGCAUUUCUGGCUAAGCCGUUAGGCGCGAAUUUUCUGUGGCCAGAAAACACAGGGCACGUUACCCGGUAUCGUGGUCUACACCUCGCCCACAAAUCCAUCCCAGGCUGUAUCCUCAUGGAAGCUUUUUCCAGAUGUGCUUGAGGGUUAAGAUCGCAAUGUGCAAGAAGAAAAACUGCACAUUGGAAAACCUUCUCUUCGGAGAUAUCUAUAUCUAUAUUUAUAUAUAUUUACAGAUAUGGAGAUAUAUACACACACGUAUCUGAAAACAUUCUGACGUUUUAAAAACGAUGAAGGAACAAGGUCCAGUGAUGUCCGCAGAGCAUGUAGCUGGUCAAAGACCAACCCCAGACCAGAAUGGAUGCCUCCUGAUCUCACUUCAGUUCUCAUUCCACUUCACCACACUGCUGGUUGACUGUGGUGUCACGGUGCAUAACCAGAACUAAUUUCUGGCAUUACCUUCCAGGAUCUAGUACAUUAUGGGACACAAAAGGAAUUGCAGCAAAGUUAGUGAGAGGGUACUUUGAUUACAUUCUGUGUUCCACAUCUAA
ensembl:lncRNA GS1-24F4.2 uncharacterized LOC100652791